AUUGAACGCUGGCGGCAGGCCUAACACAUGCAAGUCGAGCGGAUGAAGGGAGCUUGCUCCUGGAUUCAGCGGCGGACGGGUGAGUAAUGCCUAGGAAUCUGCCUGGUAGUGGGGGAUAACGUCCGGAAACGGGCGCUAAUACCGCAUACGUCCUGAGGGAGAAAGUGGGGGAUCUUCGGACUCCCCGCUAUCAGAUGAGCCUAGGUCGGAUUAGCUAGUUGGUGGGGUAAAGGCCUACCAAGGCGACGAUCCGUAACUGGUCUGAGAGGAUGAUCAGUCACACUGGAACUGAGACACGGUCCAGACUCCUACGGGAGGCAGCAGUGGGGAAUAUUGGACAAUGGGCGAAAGCCUGAUCCAGCCAUGCCGCGUGUGUGAAGAAGGUCUUCGGAUUGUAAAGCACUUUAAGUUGGGAGGAAGGGCAGUAAGUUAAUACCUUGCUGUUUUGACGUUACCAACAGAAUAAGCACCGGCUAACUUCGUG
rnacentral:rRNA from 1 species